CUCAUCUGGAUUCCCAUCAUGGCCUGGGCCCCUCUGCUCCUCACGCUGCUCACGUACUGCUCAGGAGCCAGCUCGCAGCCCACGCUGACCCAGCCGCCUGCAGACUCAGUUUCCCUGGGAAACACUGUGAAACUCUCCUGCACUCCGAGCGGUCAGCACAGUGACUAUGUCAUCUCCUGGUACCAACAAAGGGAUGGCCAGGUCCCGCAGUUUCUUUGGUACAAUGCUAGCACCAAAGGAGAUGGGGUCCCAGAUCGAUUCACUAUUUCCAGCUCCGGAGCCAUUCGCUAUUUAACCAUCACCAACAUCCAGCCAGAGGAUGAGGCCACGUAUUACUGUGGUGUAGGUUAUGGCAGUGGUACAGGUUAUAGCGAUGGGUAA